GAAAAUAAUAUAAAGUCUAAUCUGCCCACUGAAUUAAUUUAAAGGGCUGCAGUAUAUUGACUGUACAAAGGUAGCAUAAUCAAUAGUCUUUUAAUUGAAGACUUGUAUGAAUGAUUUGAUGAAAUAUAAACUGUCUCUUUUUUAAAAUUAAAAUUUAAUUUUUUAGUUAAAAAGCUAAAAUAAAUAUAAAAGACGAGAAGACCCUAUAGAGUUUUAUAAUUAUUUUUAUUUAUUUUAUAUAUUAAUAUUAAAAAUUAAAUGUAAAUAAUUAUUUUGUUGGGGUGAUAGAAAAAUUUAAUUAACUUUUUUUUAAAUUUAACAUUAAUAUAUGAAUAUAUGAUCCAUAUUUUAUGAUUAAAAGAAUAAAUUACCUUAGGGAUAACAGCGUAAUUUUUUUUUUUAGUUCAUAUAAAAAAAAGAGUUUGCGACCUCGAUGUUGGAUUAAGAUAAAAUUUAAAUGCAAAAGUUUAAAAUUUUUGAUCUGUUCGAUCAUUAAAAUCUUACAUGAUCUGA
rnacentral:rRNA from 1 species